rfam:Ipomoea nil DNA, scaffold: scaffold3100, cultivar: Tokyo-kokei standard.
AAUCCAUGGUGUGGACACUGCCUCUUCAACUCCUUAAACCUCUCCCAAGACUCAGUUAGGGACUCAGUUGCCAAUUGUUUAAAGUUUUGAAUUUCCCUUCUCAUCCU